rnacentral:rRNA from 1 species
GAUGAACGCUGGCGGCGUGCCUAAUACAUGCAAGUCGAGCGAACGGACGAGAAGCUUGCUUUUCUGAUGUUGGCAGCGGACGGGUGAGUAACACGUGGAUAACCUACCUAUAAGACUGGGAUAACUUCGGGAAACCGGAGCUAAUACCGGAUAAUAUUUUGAACCGCAUGGUUCAAAAGUGAAAGACGGUCUUGCUGUCACUUAUAGAUGGAUCCGCGCUGCAUUAGCUAGUUGGUAAGGUAACGGCUUACCAAGGCAACGAUGCAUAGCCGACCUGAGAGGGUGAUCGGCCACACUGGAACUGAGACACGGUCCAGACUCCUACGGGAGGCAGCAGUAGGGAAUCUUCCGCAAUGGGCGAAAGCCUGACGGAGCAACGCCGCGUGAGUGAUGAAGGUCUUCGGAUCGUAAAACUCUGUUAUUAGGGAAGAACAUAUGUGUAAGUAACUGUGCACAUCUUGACGGUACCUAAUCAGAAAGCCACGGCUAACUACGUG